rnacentral:rRNA from 1 species
GACGAACGCUGGCGGCGUGCUUAACACAUGCAAGUCGAGCGGUAAGGCCCUUUCGGGGGUACACGAGCGGCGAACGGGUGAGUAACACGUGGGUGACCUGCCCUCAGCUCUGGGAUAAGCCUGGGAAACCGGGUCUAAUACUGGAUAUGACUCCAUGACGCACGUUGUGGGGUGGAAAGCCUUGUGCGGCUGAGGAUGGGCCCGCGGCCUAUCAGCUUGUUGGUGGGGUGAUGGCCUACCAAGGCGACGACGGGUGGCCGGCCUGAGAGGGCGACCGGCCACACUGGGACUGAGACACGGCCCAGACUCCUACGGGAGGCAGCAGUGGGGAAUCUUGCGCAAUGGGCGAAAGCCUGACGCAGCGACGCCGCGUGAGGGAUGACGGCCUGG